UUAUAUAUGGUAUAAGUUUUUCGACCAAUUUUGAUAGUUGAGGUAGUAGACGCAUGAACAGGUAUAAACAUACAAUGCAAGGAUCUUUUCCAGUUUUAAUGGAAGUUAUGGGUUGAUAUAUUUAUCAAUUGAAACGCUUAAAUAUAAAUAUCAGCGGGAUUAUUAAUAUUAUAAACUUCAGUACAUUCCAUUACAGUAACAAAAUCAAAUUCUCGUAAUUUCUUAUCUUUAACUUGUUUGUUUUCAUUCCCAAGUCCCCUCACUUCUUGUGGUUGAUAUGAAGAAAUAAAUUUAAUAAUUAUUUAUACAACAAUAACCCUAAAUCUAGUGUAAUAUUUUAGCUAACACGUAACAUACCGUACAAAAUUUUUCUAUUCCAAAGGCAGCUGCUAUCCUAGCUGGAUUGUAAGAAAUUGGUCCUUAUACAAAAACAGGAAACAUAUGAUCAAUAACCAUAAUUAAAAAAAGGAUAAUAGAAUUUAACAAGUAAAAUCAAAGAAUGUUGAAAAUAAGACGAACGUGCCACGAUCGUUAAGAAAAGGAAAUAAAGUCUAUGACACCUGGUUGCUUAAGUAAGGUAAAAAUAUAUUGCGUUGUAAAAACAGGAUUACAAGGCAAUAUGUGCCGUCAAUGUGUAAAUCAUUAAUUUUAAAUUUAAAUAAAAAAGUAAUUGGUGAAAGCGGAGAACUCUAA